rnacentral:rRNA from 1 species
AUUCCAGCUCCAAUAGCGUAUAUUUAAGUUGUUGCAGUUAAAAAGCUCGUAGUUGGAUUUCGGUUGAGAACGGCCGGUCCGCCGUUUGGUGUGCACUGGCUGGUUUCAACUUCCUGUAGAGGACGUACUCUGGGUUAACGCUCGGAUACGGAGUCUACGUGGUUACUUUGAAAAAAUUAGAGUGUUCAAAGCGGGCUUACGCUUGAAUAUUUCAGCAUGGAAUAACACUAUAGGACUCCUGUCCUAUUUCGUUGGUCUCGGGACGGGAGUAAUGAUUAAGAGGAACAGUUGGGGGCAUUCGUAUUUCAUUGUCAGAGGUGAAAUUCUUGGAUUUAUGAAAGACGAACUUCUGCGAAAGCAUUUGCCAAGGAUGUUUUCAUUA